CUCUCUCUGCCCCUCCCCCGCUCACGCUCUGUCUCUCUCUCUCUCAAAAGUAAAUAAACAUUAAAAUUUUUUUUUCAAUAAUAGAAUAAAAGUAAAAUGAGGAGAUAGCGGAAUUCAUAAUUCAUCGAAUGCUUUCCACGCGUCAUGGCCUGUGAUAGGCUCUUGCUAUUUUCAGCUUCUAACUUCCCUGGAGCUCUGAGAGGUAGGUAUUCUGGGCCUUCUGUCCUGAUCAGGACAUAGAGGUUCAGAGAUUUAACUUGCCCAAGGCCAGUCACCAAGGAAACGGUAAAGGCAGGAGGGAAACCCGAGGCUCGGCGGGCUGGGGCAAACCGUUUCCUGGCUACCGACGAUGUGCUAGGUGAAGGAAAGCAAGACCACGGGAGGUUGCGAAGCUGCUCUCUGGGUUUGAACUUGCCCGUGACAAGAUGGGCACGGACACCAAGCCACGUUCCCUACGCUCCGUGUGACUGAAGUUCCCACACGAGAUGAGGUUGAACCUUAUGAAAUUGCCGGCAGCCAAUCAAGUUCGAGCUACAAAACGAGCGAGUCCCUUUGGAGCCUGUCCCGCGCGGCUGGUAGAGGACGGAGGUGCGGGGACCUCCCACCUCUGGCUGUGCGAACCCCUCGGGACAGAUGUGCAAGAAAGACGGCAGGACUGAUGAGUCCCGCCGGGGACAUCAGAGUGAGAACCUGAUGAACUCCAGUUCCGACAGGUCACUGGGGACAGCGGCAGAAGUUUCUUUCUCCAGGCUCCAUCCAAGGGACGGGACUCUGUGUCUUCGACCAGGAUAGCCCUCAGUUCUUGCCCUCUCCUGGGCAACCUGUGGCCUCUCCGAGGGGACCGGAAGUGACAGCUGAGACUGGUUUUGUGACGCGCCGUCACGGGAAUCUGAGAGCAUAGAGGCUUUGAGGUUGGCGGUAGUGACCCGCCUCACGGCCUGACGGGGAGGGUGCACGAGGUAGCGCAUGGAACAAGGUCGGCACAGAGCCGGGCGCUCAGAAGGCACGCUGCGCGGCGGCUGUGGUUGGCCUCGUUGAUUGUUCUGUAGCCUGUUAAUUCCUAAGACUGGGAUACAAAUUCGACGGUUUGCAGGGUGCCUGACAGAAUCUGUUUUUUCAGGAGUAGACGGGAAGGAGGCAUUGGGAGUUGCAGGGCACUUACCUAAGCCAGGCGCCCUGGGAGUCGCUGGACGCACGCUGUCUCAGAAUCUCCGCGAACAGCUCUGGAGAACACGAUGCCCGUUUUAUAGAUGCAGAGACUAAGGUCCAGGGAUGAGCUUGCUCAAGGUCGCUCAGCUGGCUUUGCUGUCUGGAAACUAAUUCUUCGAUGGGAAUGCGAAGGGAAAUGGAUAGCGGCGGGGUGCAAUGCAGUGCAUGGGGUUUCCUUUUGGACGUGAGAUCUGGAUGAAAUGUCGGUAGAGUUUCUCUGGCUAUGGGGAGGUGCAGGAGGUGGUCAGGGCAUUGAGAAUCUCGGGGUGCCCAGCUCUCUGUGAGCCGCACAGCAGGGUCUAGCCUCUUGAAUCCGGGGGUGCGGGGAGGCUGUGCCUCAUCGUUUGCUAUUUGUGUGAGCACAUUCCACUUCCAGGAGCACCCCUGAAAGCGUUCUUAUCCGCAUUUUGCAGAUGGGGAAAGUGAGGCUCGGAUGGGUGAAGGUCCCUGUGGUGGUUAUCGGAUGCUCCGGGACAAGCCACCGCGGACUUAGUGGCCUCAAGACCACUCACUUCUUACGCUCACAAAUUCCGUGGGUCAGGAAUUUGGAUAGGGUAUAGAAGGGAUACCUUCUGCUCCAUCAUGUCUGAGACCUCAGCUUGGAAGACCUGAAUGGCCAAGAGCGACUGGAACAGUUGGCCGGCUCAUUCACUUGUCUGGAACCGGGGCUGGGUGGCUCACAGGCUGGGCUGAGCGGGGACAGUUGACUGGAACAACCCCACACGGCCUCUUCCUUCAGCCUGGGAUCGACUCCUUGCAUCACGGCACCGAGAUUCAUUUUUUUUUUUUAACGUUUAUUUAUUUUUGAGACAGAGAGAGACAGAGCAUGAACGGGGGAGGGUCAGAGAGAGAGGGAGACACAGAAUCCGAAACAGGCUCCAGGCUCUGAGCCGUCGGCACAGAGCCCGACUCGGGGCUCGAACUCACAUACCGCGAGAUCGUGACCUGAGCCGAAGUCGGACGCUUAACUGACUGGGCCACCCAGGCGCCCCACGGCACCGAGAUUCAUUAUAGGAAGUGGCUCAUGUGAUUAUGGGGGCUCAGAAGUCCCGGAGUCCUCCAUUUGCAAGUCGGAGACCCAGAAAACCGGAUGGUGUCAUUCAGUCCAAGUCUGAGGGUCUACAGAUGGGGGUCUACAGAUGAUGUAAACCCCCGUCAGAGCCCCAAGGCCCGAACACCAGAAGCAGUGAUCCUAGCUCAAGCAGAGAGCAAAUUUGUCCUUCCUCUUCCUUUUUGUUUGAUGGGGGGCCCUCGACGGAUCGCACGAUACCCACCCACACUGGUGAGGAGUAUCCUAUUUAGCCAGUCCACUGGUCCAAAUGUUAACCUCUUCUGGAAACACCCUCAGAGAUACACCAAGAAAUCAAGUUUUCCCAACCGCCUGGGCAUCCCUUAGUCUCGUCAAAAAAUUAGCCAUCACAUCACCUUAUCCUGGAUCAUCAUCCCAGCUUUUUAUUAUUUUUUUGUUAAAAAAAUUUUUUUUAAUGCUCAUUUAUUUUUGAGAGAGAGAGAGAGCGAGAGAGAGCGUGCGUGCG